rnacentral:rRNA from 1 species
CUCCUACGGGAGGGCAGCAGUGGGGAAUCUUGCACAAUGGGCGAAAGCCUGAUGCAGCAAUGCCGCGUGAGUGAUGAAGGCCUUCGGGUUGUAAAUCUCUGUCGGUUGGGACAAACGGACUUAUGGUUAAUAUCCAUAGGUAGUGAUGGUACCAGCAAAGGAAGAGGCGGCUAACUCUGUGCCAGCCGCCGCGGUAAUAC